UACGGGAGGCAGCAGUGGGGAAUAUUGCACAAUGGACGCAAGUCUGAUGCAGCAACGCCGCGUGGAGGAUGAUGGUCUUUGGAUUGUAAACUCCUGUCAGCAGGGAGAAAGGGAGGCGACCUAAUACGUCGUUGACUUGAUUGUACCUGCAGAGGAAGCCCCGGCUAACUCUGUGCCAGCAGCCGCGGUAAU
rnacentral:rRNA from 1 species